UGGUCAAUGAUGACCUGACCACUGCGCAAUCUGAGUUCUAAGAACCAGUGAUGGAGUGUGUACUGAGACCG